ACAGCAGCCGCCGCGGUAAUACGAAGGGUGCAAGCGUUAAUCGGAAUUACUGGGCGUAAAGCGUGCGUAGGCGGUGAGUUAAGUCUGCUGUGAAAUCCCCGGGCUCAACCUGGGAAUGGCAGUGGAUACUGGCUCGCUAGAGUGUGUCAGAGGAUGGUGGAAUUCCCGGUGUAGCGGUGAAAUGCGUAGAGAUCGGGAGGAACAUCAGUGGCGAAGGCGGCCAUCUGGGACAACACUGACGCUGAGGCACGAAAGCGUGGGGAGCAAACAGGAUUAGAUACCCCCUAGUCCCUGUCUCUUAUACA
rnacentral:rRNA from 1 species